GGAAGCCAGCAGUGAUGGAGCCACCUCAGAGGUUUCUAAGCCCAAAAAAGACAUGGAGCCAGAUGCAGAGGCUUUCGAAUCCGAGACCCGGGUGCUGAGGAGAGCUCCUUGGGCAGGUCACGGGUCUGGCCUGGCGCCCCGGGGGAAUGACA
rnacentral:lncRNA from 1 species